rnacentral:rRNA from 1 species
GACGAACCGUGCAAACGUUGUUCGGAAUCACUGGGCUUAAAGGGCGCGUAGGCGGGCCGGACAGUCUGUGGUGAAAGCCCCCAGCUUAACUGGGGAAGUGCCAUGGAUACUGCCGGUCUUGAGGAGGGUAGGGGCAUCUGGAACGCUGGGUGGAGCGGUGAAAUGCGUUGAUAUCCAGCGGAACUCCGGUGGCGAAGGCGAGGUGCUGGACCCUUUCUGACGCUGAGUGCGCGAAAGCCAGGGGAGCAAACGGG